UACAGAGGGGGCAAGCGUUGUUCGGAAUUACUGGGCGUAAAGGGCGCGUAGGCGGCCUGUUAAGUCGAACGUGAAAUCCCCGGGCUCAACCCGGGAACUGCGUCCGACACUGGCAGGCUUGAAUUCGGGAGAGGGAUGCGGAAUUCCAGGUGUAGCGGUGAAAUGCGUAGAUAUCUGGAGGAACACCGGUGGCGAAGGCGGCAUCCUGGACCGAGAUUGACGCUGAUGCGCGAAAGCCAGGGGAGCAAACGGG
rnacentral:rRNA from 1 species